rnacentral:misc_RNA from 1 species
CCCCGCACUGUGUACUCUUGUGGAUAGCUGCUCCCGUUCUCGCUUUUUUCUUUAGCUGCUUGCUUUCUUGCUUUGGUAGGCACUGCGCAGAGUCGAUCUAGUUCAAAGAACCGCCGCGCGGUGCCAGCUGUGACUCCUUUCUUUGUGCGCGCGGCCGUGCUGCUGGUGUGCGCCCCUCGCUAAGCACAGAACAGACCACAACAGCGAAGUACAGGUGCUCUCACGGUCCAUUUGGUUUGUCAUAAUCAAUGAGAAGCGAGCCGAAACCGGCAGAGGCGGCGCCUCCACAGGCCUCGAUAGAGGAGCACGAGCCGGCACCUUCAGCUUUCUCCGAGUCGACUGAUGACGAGGCAGCGCUGCCGCGUAAGAAGCAAAAGAAAGUGAGCAAGGUGACGCAGAAGAUCAGAGUGGUCGACGGCAGCGUUGACGUGCGAGUGCAACACACGAACGACGACAGCGUCGUCAGCAAGCGCUCUGCCGUGGCACACAAGUACAUCCGCGACAAGUUUCUGCGACAUUUUGUAAAGAAGCCGUCACGGCGCUCGCCGCUGGUCAACCGCGGCUACUACCUGCGCAUGGCGGUGAUGACAGAUCUUGUAGUUCGACUCGUCCAGAGCUAUCUGGAAGCCCCGGAGCGACGAGCCGCAGUCUACGAGGGCGCACCGCGCCCUCCGCCUGUUCAGGUUCUCUCCUUGGGAGCUGGCUAUGACACGCUGGCUUUCCGACUCCUGCUAGACUCUGUAGACGUUCUUAAUGUCGAUGGAAAACGACCUGGCGUGCCAGCGUCUUCGUCGUGCCCGUCGCCGUCCACACCCGUUUCCUUUGCCGGAGGGGAGGUGCUUUUCAUAGACGUGGACUUCUCCGCAGUGCUAAAGUCGAAAGCAGCACUCAUGGCUGCCGCCCCUCCGGAGACCUUCCCGGCAGACUGGCAUAUGAUGCCGCAGAGCGAGGAAUGCCCGAUUCGCAGUCCUCACUACGCCGCCGUUGGUGUCGAUCUCCGCAUCGCCUCGGCGGAGCUGCUGCCGCGUCUCCAGCAGCACGGCCCCGCCGGGUUCGCGGCGACGAACCCAACCAUCAUCUAUGCUGAGUGUGUCAUGCAGUACAUGCCGCGUGAGGAUGCGGCGCAGCUGCUCGCGCUCCUCGCCGCAAGUUUCCCAAAUGCCGUCUUCAUGGCGUAUGACCAGGUAUCACCUCUCGACAGUUUCGGCCGUGUCAUGCAACACUCGUUGCGCCAAAAAAGCAGCCCGCUGUUGGGCAUUCACGCUUGCCCGGACGGGGCGCACAUGACGCGCCGUGCAUACGCGGCAGGCAUGCGUCGCGCGUGGUGGGGAAACUUCUACCGCAUCUCGACCUUUUGCUUGUCUGGCGCGGAACUGAAGCGGGUGGAGGCCCUGGAGGACUUUGACGAACUCGAAGAGUGGAGCGAGAUGUGCGAGCACUACGGCGUCACCAUGGCAGUCACGCCCGCGGCGUGGGACUCGGUAGCCACGAACGGCUGUGCUGCCCACACAGCCUUUGUGGAGUACUCGGUUGAUGGUGUGGCAUGCAGCAAGGGUAGUGAGUCUCUGCCACAAAGCGCGGAGCGGUUCAAGGUCGAGCUGCACAACUGGCCUUCGGGGCGCUACGGGUUCGAGGGCUGGGGCAACGGCGGCGUGGCAGUCGAGCCUCUAGCCAACGGUGACCGUCUCCUCGUCUCCUUUGGCGGCUUUGCCGCGGGUAAGCAACACCAGCGCGUCAGUACCGUGUACGUGCACAGUCUGCAAGAGGGGGAGCUGCGUGUCGUUGUCGCCAGCGAGGACAGCGAGGGCACGACGACAGCUGGACCAACUGCCCGCGCAGCGCAUCCCCCACCGUUGGUGUUUCACACCUUCUCUCGCGUGGCCCCGCGCACGUUCCUCGUUUGGGGCGGCCGCACGAAUCCGUCUACGCCGUCCAACGACGCCUUUUUGCUCACUCUCGAUGUGCCGUGCACGGUUGGCCUAGGCACUACCGUUACGGCGCGCUGGAGGGCGCUGAGCGUACACUGUGACAACGGACGCUGGUGCUGCCCAUCCCCUCGCUAUCGCCACAGCAUGGUGAGUCUCGGCAGCACGGGAGAUGAGGCGACACUUCUGCUGGUGGGCGGCAAAGCUGCGGGCGCCAACGCCGCGGCGGCGCUGGAGUGCUUCCGCGUUACUGUGUGCAUGCGCCGCCUCAGCAUCUCCUACGAGGCACUGGACUGCGCCGCGGCGAGCGGCCUUUCGCCGCCUCCGCUGCACUCGGCCGCAGCCACAGCACUCUCGUCCGACACAGUUCUUGUCUCCGGCGGGGUCCUGCUGGGGCAGGAUGCGUGCAAUCCGCAUCUGUGGCAGCUGCGGCUUUCCACGAAGGAGUGGUCCCGCGUGCCGGUGUGGCUUGGUGAAGGCCGCUACUCCCACUCUCUGACUCCCGUCACUGUGAACCACCAGGACUACCUCCUCGUGCUGGGGGGCAGCAGCUGGACGGAGAAAUCCCGCGUGCCGCCAGCUCUGCUAGUCCCACGUUCUCUCCUCAGUAGCAGCACAGGCGGUGAAGCUGCGGCAGCCGUUGCCGUCACGGUGUCGCUCCCAACAGAUGCGCCAUGGUGGUCGCGCCAUUCCUGCGUUGCCCUCGGCGAAGGUGUGGUAGGUGUAGUUGGUGGCGGCUAUACUUGCUUCUCCUUUGGCACCUUCGCCGCAAAGCCGAAGCUGCUCUGCCUCGGUGACGCUGUCGAUGAGAACGCGUGGCGCUCGAUCACUGCACCAACUGCCAACGCGAAUGUGGGGCAGGGCGUCGGCGCCACAACCUCCACUGCACACGAGCCCGCGUACUCGUACGACGAACUCCUCUCGAAGCCGUGGUCCGCCGUGCGUGAGGUGAUGCACUACAGCGCAGCCGCGUUCCUGGAGGCAGCUACUGCGGCCGCGCAGCCCGUCGUGUUCCGCAACGUCCCUCUUGGCUCGUGUCUGUCCAACUGGGGCUCCUCAGCGUACUUAAAAGAGGCCGAAGGGAACUCUACGGUGUCGGUGCACGUGAGCGAGGGGUCGCCGCGGCUGGACUUUGUGCGCAAGAACUUUGCCUUCCGUCACGUGACGCUAGCGCAGCUGGUGCAGCACGUCGAGGACGCGACAAAGCGCUUUCGCACGACCCGUGGGACGCCAAGGGAGACGUGGUACUACCGCUCCGUUGCGGCUCACAUGAAGAACGAGCGCUCCAACUUGUGGACGGACUUCCCGGCACUGGGCACGGACUUUGUGCUACCACCUGGCGCGAAGGAGUACAUUGGGCCACGGCUGCAUCAGUCCUGCUUGCGCAUGAGUGCCCCGCCGCUGCAGCUUUGGACGCACUAUGACGCGCUGGACAACGUCCUCUGCCAAAUUGUCGGCACGAAGCGUGUGGUUCUGUUCCCGCCGAGCGAGUACAACAAUCUGUACGUGACGGGCAGCUCCUCGGCGGUACUGAAUGUGGACGCGCCGGAUCUCGUGCGCUACCCUCGCCUUAUUGCAGCCUGCAAAGCAGCGCAGGUGGUUGUCCUGCAACCAGGCGACAUGCUCUUCAUCCCUGCGAUGUGGUUUCACCAAAUUACGACGCUGUUGCCGGACGCGGAGGCCGCGGAGAGUGCUGAAGGGACGGCGAUGGCCCCAUAUAACAUGAGCGUCAACGUCUUCUAUCGCCAUUUCAGCGACACGGCCGUCUACGAUCCGAAGGACCUCUACGGGAACAAGGACAUAUUGGCAGUGACGCGCAUUCGCCAGGACCUGCAAUCGGCUGUGUGCGACGUGCUGAGCAAGGUGCGUCUCACACCGGCCAUCGACGCCCCACACGUGCCGUCCAACUACGUCGAGUUCGCGGUGCGGCAUUUUCUGCAGGACCUAGAAAGGAACGUGGCAGCGGUGGCAGAUGCGCAGCGCGGCACGUGAACGUUCCUUGACACUCAGACGCCUGGACGGCGGUCGUUGCAGAAGAAGAAGAAGGGAGGCACCGCCACCUCGUCACACGCUGGACCGCACUCCUCCCCGUGUUCCUCUGCCGCAUGGCCUCGCUUCGUACUCCUCGCGCUGUACCUCUCUCCGCCGUCCCCUCUCCUUUCUCGGCGUGUUAAAUUAAGCAAAGGCCAAUGACGUCAACGUUUAAGACGGUGUCCUCUUCUUGUUUUGCGCCGGUGUCGGUGGCUGUUGUUGCGUCGGUAUGGAGAGGAGACUCCUUCCCCUCUCCCCCUCUUCCCAGCUCUUUGUCUCUCCCUCCCUCCCUCCGAGCACGCCCAUGCCUGGGGAGCCGACGUCCUUCGAAGCGGAAAUGAGAACUGAGAUGACAAAAGACGUCGACCCACGUGUGGCUGUCCAUGGGAGGCUAACCGACGGUACAUAGACGCCUCUACCCGCCACGUCGAUCUCUUCGUCGUCUCCGGCACUGUACAUCGACAAGCCAUCGCUCUCGUCGCUUGUAUGUGCCUCUGCACAGAGCCGGCCUGACCUUCCAUCGGCUCCUUCUGCUUAGACUUCUAGGUGAUGCCUGCACACGCCGUCGUCUGUAAAUGCAUGCGCGCGGGGGUGCUCGUCGGCGUGUGAAUACAGCUCCCUACCUUCUCGUCCCGUUCUGGCACAUUUGUUUCUCCCCUCCCUCUCUCGCUGUCGGCUCACACGUGUCUCUCUGUCUCAAUGCUCACUCCAG